UUCGAUAACAACUUAACAUUAGGUGGACU
rnacentral:sRNA from 1 species